AGGGUCCACUAUAUAAAUGUUUUCUACUUGAAAAAUAUCUUAAGAAAGGAAGUAUAGUGGAUUAAGAGAAAGACUGACUCUAGGAUAUGGUUGGAGAGAAAGGAAGAACAAGAUCAUCAAACAAGUGAAACAGUUUGAAAAUUAUUAAGUGGGAAAUCACUGAAGGUUUGUCAGCAUAACAGUAGCAGCCUGGUAUGGGUUUUAUAAAAAUUUGCUCUGGAUACAUUGGAGAAUGUAAUGGGAUAAAAGACACAGGAGGACAACCGGGAAGACCAAUCAGGAGGCUACGUAACAGAUGAUGUUGACUUAGAAGAAAAGCUCAAGGCCUAUUCUGGAGUAGAACUGACAAAACAGACCAGCCCUGCAGCCUUCUGACACAGACCCUUCAGCUUUCCAUCACAGACUUUCGGCCCCGAUACUGAACAGCACUGGACACUACACUGAGCUCCAGGCCUUUGAUUGGAUCCUUUGGACCCCUGCUGCACAGACAGACGUCUUGCACUCUUCCACACUCGACUCUGUGGGUGACCACUCAAUGGACAUGAAACACAAAUGACCAGGGUGAGGAAAGGACAGCAUCCUAAAGAGAAGCAAGUUCUGACAAUGAUUAAUGUGGGGCUCCCAAGGAUGUCUGACAGGAAAAAGAAGCAACAUAUUGUGUAACGGACAAAAAAAUUAG